rnacentral:rRNA from 1 species
CUUUUUGUUGGGGCCUAAUAUGUGUGAGGGUUGUAGGACAUUGCUAAAUAAGUUGCUGUGGAAUUGACUAAUUAAUUUUUAUUGAUGGAUAAGCACAUAUUAUAUUACUGAAUCGAAAAGAAAACAAAAUCGCCUAGUCCGCUUUUUUGUAGAAGUAAAUUCAUAAUAUUAAGAGAUAAGAUAGAAAACCUCAUUGAAAGAAAUAUCAAGUAUUUUAUCGAAAAUAUUUAUAUUCUUUACACUGAUUGAGGAAAGUCUAGCAUAAAAUAUUCUUUUGUGAACUAGAAUUGCCUCCUUCAAUAUUGUGAAGAGAAAGAAUAAUAGAUAAAAAGAAAGAAUUCUUUCGCUAUAAAAUGAUGGUAAUAAUUUCUAUGAAAGCAAUUGUGUUGUGUAUACCACCCACACAUAUAAAAUUAAUAUUUGUGAAACAACCCAAACCAAAAGGGGCCUACAA